GCGUCCCACUAGGAGGGGGCAGGGACGGGACGUGGGAAAAUGACUACGCGUCACUCGUGAUGUCGCGCAUCCGAUAGGCCCUUUUCAGAUGGCAAAAGGCCUGAGGGUGAAUCUGGGCGAGCUGGUUGAGUCCAUGCGUUUGUGCUUCCUCUCAGUCCACUUUCGCUUACGAUGGGGCGACUCUUGUCCAUCGUCACCUCACCGGGAAACUUUUCCUGCCGGGCCAGUUAAUGGUCCCCUGUACCAUCCCCAUCCUGAGUGACUACUAAGCAGCCGCAGCGACUCGGGGUUGCUCCGUGACCACGUUACUCAGUUAACCUUCUUGUUCCCUGGAGAGGCGGAGCUGAAUGGCCGGACGGGGUUUCUCCAUGUUUCCCAGGCUGGUCUCAAACUCCUGGACUCAAGCAAUCUGCCCACCUUGCCUCCCAAAAUGCUCCUCCAAAAAAGGAGUGUGCCGCCACACCCAGCCUGAGCAACUUUUGUUUUUAAGUGCAAAGAAAUAAAUUCUGUCAACAAUCAAGUGACUUUGGAAGAGGUUCCUGAGCCUCAGAUGAGACCCCAGCCUGGCCAACACUUUGAAGCCUUGUGAGAAUGACCAUCCAACUAAGCCUUGCCCUGACUCCUGACCCACGGAAACUGUGCGAUAAUAAAUGUAUAUUGUUUUAAGCUAUGACGUUUGGGAUAAUUUCUUACAUCAUAGACAACUAUUGCAGCC
rnacentral:lncRNA from 10 species